AGAUGAUUGGAACACCUGGAGUAUAAGUGGAGUAAAGAGUACAGAAGAAAUGCCUCUGGCGGAAAAUUUGAAGCAGUUUCUGUGCAAGACUGGAGCUCACACAUGAAGCCAACUCUGAGGAAGUACAAAGUGUUGUCCCCAAUCCUCGUAAUAUCCAGCUUCUUUGGCAGCUUGCUCUGCCCAAAAGAAGAUAGGAGACAGACAGACAGACAAACACACAGGCAUACACACAGAUGCGCAGAUGGACAGACAAUAAACUUUUCCUGGGGAUGUGAAGGUAAGCAAACCAACAAAGUAAAGAUUUAUUUAAAAUGGCCCCCAUAAAGAAAGUAGAAUUUAUGAUGUGAUACUAUUAUGUAAAAGUAUAAAAAUUACUGAAAAAGUGGCCCAUAAAUAUGAAAAGAACAAAAAUAAAAUUUGCUCCAUUCCCUCAAGCCUGGCCAAAGCCUAUUUUCACCUCUUUUGCUCAAUUUUCUCCCAGUUCUGAAUAUAAAAGCCCAGAAAAUCAGGGAGAGAAGCUCUUUGGAGCUUAUCAGGGGUGGGAAGAGAAACUGAGUGGGCAGAACAAGAAUUGUUUUGAGAGUGUAGGGAAUGAGUGGGAACACCUCCUGCCUUUUGUCUAUCACAUGAGU
rnacentral:lncRNA from 1 species